AGUCGAACGAACUCUUCGGAGUUAGUGGCGGACGGGUGAGUAACACGUGGGAACGUGCCUUUAGGUUCGGAAUAACUCAGGGAAACUUGUGCUAAUACCGAAUGUGCCCUUCGGGGGAAAGAUUUAUCGCCUUUAGAGCGGCCCGCGUCUGAUUAGCUAGUUGGUGAGGUAAAGGCUCACCAAGGCGACGAUCAGUAGCUGGUCUGAGAGGAUGAUCAGCCACAUUGGGACUGAGACACGGCCCAAACUCCUACGGGAGGCAGCAGUGGGGAAUCUUGCGCAAUGGGCGAAAGCCUGACGCAGCCAUGCCGCGUGAAUGAUGAAGGUCUUAGGAUUGUAAAAUUCUUUCACCGGGGACGAUAAUGACGGUACCCGGAGAAGAAGCCCCGGCUAACUUCGUGCCAGCAGCCGCGGUAAUACGAAGGGGGCUAGCGUUGCUCGGAAUUACUGGGCGUAAAGGGAGCGUAGGCGGACAUUUAAGUCAGGGGUGAAAUCCCGGGGCUCAACCUCGGAAUUGCCUUUGAUACUGGGUGUCUUGAGUAUGAGAGAGGUAUGUGGAACUCCGAGUGUAGAGGUGAAAUUCGUAGAUAUUCGGAAGAACACCAGUGGCGAAGGCGACAUACUGGCUCAUUACUGACGCUGAGGCUCGAAAGCGUGGGGAGCAAACAGGAUAGA
rnacentral:rRNA from 1 species